GACGAACGCUGGCGGCGUACUUAACACAUGCAAGUCGAACGGAAAGACCCUGCUUUUGUGGGGUGCUCGAGUGGCGAACGGGUGAGUAACACGUGAGUAACCUGCCCUUGACUUUGGGAUAACUUCAGGAAACUGGGGCUAAUACCGGAUAGGAGCUCCUGCUGCAUGGUGGGGGUUGGAAAGUUUCGGCGGUUGGGGAUGGACUCGCGGCUUAUCAGCUUGUUGGUGGGGUAGUGGCUUACCAAGGCUUUGACGGGUAGCCGGCCUGAGAGGGUGACCGGCCACAUUGGGACUGAGAUACGGCCCAGACUCCUACGGGAGGCAGCAGUGGGGAAUAUUGCACAAUGGGCGGAAGCCUGAUGCAGCAACGCCGCGUGCGGGAUGACGGCCUUCGGGUUGUAAACCGCUUUCGCCUGUGACGAAGCGUGAGUGGCGGUAAUGGGUAAAGAAGCACCGGCUAACUACGU
rnacentral:rRNA from 1 species